AAGAGCAGGCUGGACUUCUAAUGGUGGUCAUGAAAGCUGAUUCCAAAUGUCCAUGAGUUACAGUUCAAAGCCUGCUAGAAUUGAGGCGCAGAGAUAAAAGUCCUCCGUCAUGUGCAGCGAUGCCGGCGCUGUGGCAGCACUGCAAACUUUCCCCGUCUGAUCUGUCCGCCUCUGGAGAGCGCGAUUCUCAGCAGUUGAUAAAGUGCUCCAUGCUGAAACCAAAAUUAUGGGUCCUAAUGAACCUCAGAAAUGCUGCUGCCUUUGAAAUGUGACUCCCUGUCCAGCGAGAGGUCAGUAAUGUAAACUGAUAAACUGCAGAGAAGCAUGAUGUGGACGUGAAGACUUUCAUCAGCCUCAUCAGCUGAGAAUGGCCUCAAGUGAAGAGCAUGUACACCUACGUGCUUGUAUGUAUUUGGUUUAUAUUGAGUAUUUGUUAAACAUUUUCAUGAUAAUUGCAUUCUGUGUUCCAACUUCAAACAUAGAAUGAAACCACAGGAAAAGUAAACUGUAGAUUCAUACCUAAAGCUGUCUAUCCAGAGCAAGUUUAAAGCAAUGUUUGUAUAGAAAAAUAUGUAUCAUUGUCUUGUUUUGAUUUUUUUU